GGGGAAUUUUCCGCAAUGGGCGAAAGCCUGACGGAGCAACGCCGCGUGAGGGAGGAAGGCCUUAGGGUUGUAAACCUCUUUUCUCUGGGAAGAAUAACUGACGGUACCAGAGGAAUAAGCCUCGGCUAACUCCGUGCCAGCAGCCGCGGUAAGACGGAGGAGGCAAGCGUUAUCCGGAAUUAUUGGGCGUAAAGCGUCCGCAGGCGGUUAUUUAAGUCUGUUGUCAAAGCCCACAGCUCAACUGUGGAUCGGCAAUGGAAACUGGAUGACUUGAGUGUGGUAGGGGUAGAGGGAAUUCCCGGUGUAGCGGUGAAAUGCGUAGAUAUCGGGAAGAACACCAGUGGCGAAGGCGCUCUACUGGGCCACAACUGACGCUGAGGGACGAAAGCUAGGGGAGCGAAAGGGAUUAGAUACCCCUGUAGUCCUAGCUGUAAACGAUGGAUACUAGGUGUUGGACGUAUCGACCCGUGCAGUACCGUAGCUAACGCGUUAAGUAUCCCGCCUGGGGAGUACGCACGCAAGUGUGAAACUCAAAGGAAUUGACGGGGGCCCGCACAAGCGGUGGAGGAUGUGGUUUAAUUCGAUGCAACGCGAAGAACCUUACCAAGGCUUGACAUGUCGCGAAUCUUUCAGAGAUGAGAGAGUGCCUUCGGGAGCGCGAACACAGGUGGUGCAUGGCUGUCGUCAGCUCGUGUCGUGAGAUGUUGGGUUAAGUCCCGCAACGAGCGCAACCCACGUCUUUAGUUGCCAGCAUUCAGUUGGGCACUCUAGAGAGACUGCCGGGGACAACUCGGAGGAAGGUGUGGACGACGUCAAGUCAUCAUGCCCCUUACGUCUUGGGCUACACACGUCCUACAAUGCUACAGACAGAGGGCAGCAAGCGCGCGAGUGCAAGCAAAUCCCAUAAACUGUGGCUCAGUUCAGAUUGCAGGCUGCAACUCGCCUGCAUGAAGGCGGAAUCGCUAGUAAUCGCAGGUCAGCAUACUGCGGUGAAUACGUUCCCGGGCCUUGUACACACCGCCCGUCACACCAUGGGAGUUGGCCACGCCCGAAGUCGUUACUCUAACCGUUCGCGGAGGAGGGCGCCGAAGGCAGGGCUGAUGACUGGGGUGAAGUCGUAACAAGGUAGCCGUACCGGAAGGUGUGGCUGGAUCACCUCCUUUUAGGGAGACCUACCCUUGAUAACUCCGAACCACAUUGAAUUAGGAGUAUUGAGCGGUCACUCUAGGUCGGUCAGGGCUUUGAGUAGAGUUUCUAGAUUAUGGUUGAGGUUUAUUUCUUAACGCUUUUCAGCUGUUGGUAAUAGUUGAGGAGAAAUUAAGGAACUAAACACGGGCUAUUAGCUCAGGUGGUUAGAGCGCACCCCUGAUAAGGGUGAGGUCCCUGGUUCGAGUCCAGGAUGGCCCACUGCGUGGGGGUUUAGCUCAGUUGGUAGAGCGCCUGCUUUGCAAGCAGGAUGUCAGCGGUUCGAGUCCGCUAACCUCCACCACGACUGACUGAACUAGUGGAUGGGAUAAAUUCAGCACAGUGUGCUUUUGGUUAGGCCAGGGCAUAGUCUGCUGGGUGAGAGCCUAGCAAAGAACCUUGAAAACUGAAUAUGAGAGAAGUGUAAGGUAGUACACACAGAACAUUCAAAGUUCGUUGAGAGAAGAGUGAGAUUAGUUAACUAGAGAUAGUUAAUUGAUUGAAGGUCAAGCUACAACGGGCUCACGGUGGAUACCUAGGCACACAGAG
rnacentral:misc_RNA from 1 species